rnacentral:rRNA from 1 species
UACGUAGGUGGUGAGCGUUGUCCGGAUUUACUGGGCGUAAAGAGCGCGCAGGCGGUCGUUCAAGUCGCGUGUGAAAGCCCCCGGCUCAACUGGGGAGGGUCACGCGAUACUGAUCGACUCGAAGGCAGGAGAGGGUAGUGGAAUUCCCGGUGUAGUGGUGAAAUGCGUAGAUAUCGGGAGGAACACCAGUGGCGAAGGCGACUACCUGGCCUGUUCUUGACGCUGAGGCGCGAAAGCUAGGGGAGCAAACGGG